rnacentral:rRNA from 1 species
GUCCACGCCGUAAACGAUGAAUGCUAGGUGUUGGGAGCAAAGCUCUUCGGUGCCGCCGCAAACGCAUUAAGCAUUCCACCUGGGAGUACGUUCGCAAGAAUGAACUCAAAGGAAUUGACGGGACCCGCACAAGCGGUGGAGCAUGUGGUUUAAUUCGAAGCAACGCGAAGAACCUUACCAGGUCUUGACAUCCCGAUGACCGGUUCGUAAUGGAACCUUCUCUUCGGAGCAUUGGAGACAGGUGGUGCAUGGUUGUCGU